rnacentral:lncRNA from 1 species
UUCAACAUUUACUGCAUUAUCAAAAAUCACUACACAAUCAUCCAACCUGCUUGGAGCUUGUCUGAUUCUCUGAGGUCUCACAGUUGCUUCCACUUCUUCAUGCUCAUCUGCAUCAUUAUUGUUUACUUCUUCAUUAUCUGACUCAUCUGCAUCAUCAUUGUUAACUGAUUCAUCACUUGAAUCAGGAUAAAUGUAGCUUUGUUGACUCUCUUUACUGUAUACUGGUUCC